GAAACUGCGUGGAGAUGUUUAUCCAGGUUCCUGAAUUUUCAUCUGAAUUGCAUUUUCUUCAAAGAGAUGAAUUAUUCUAGGAAAAUUUUCAUGCUUUAAAGUGGAAAAGGGAUUUGAAUCAAACUGACCUCCACCUUCACCCACUUGCUUGCUCCCUUCCACUGUUACUUUUUUUUUUCUUAGUUCUGAAAGCUUCACAGUG
rnacentral:lncRNA from 1 species